GCCGGGCGCGGUGGCUCACGCCUGUGAUCCCAGCACUUUGGGAGGCCGAGGUGGGUGGAUCACCUGAGGUCAGGAGUUCAAGACCAGCCUGACCAACAUGGUGAAACCCCAUCUCUA
ensembl:misc_RNA Metazoa_SRP Metazoan signal recognition particle RNA